rnacentral:rRNA from 1 species
AUACGGAGGGAGCAAGCGUUAUUCGGAAUCACUGGGCGUAAAGGACGCGUAGGCGGGUUUGUAAGUCAGGUGUGAAAUCCUACAGCUCAACUGUAGAACUGCACUUGAAACUACAGACCUAGAGUAUGGAAGGUGCAGAUGGAAUUAGUGGUGUAGAGGUAAAAUCCGUAGAUAUCACUAGGAAUACCGAAAGCGAAGGCGAUCUGCUGGGACAUUACUGACGCUGAGGCGUGAAAGCGUGGGGAGCAAACAGGAUUAGAAACCCUUGUAGUCC